rnacentral:lncRNA from 12 species
GGCUGAACCACUGCUCUAGGCCCUCCUUCCUCAGACCCCCUUCAGUGGGUACACUAAAUCAUGUCCCUUCAUCAAAUUGGUUUUCCCUAUAAAUGGAUAUUUUCUUGGAAUAAUAGUAAGAAACUGAUUGGAAACAAACAGGCCUCCGAACAAAGCUGUUUAUUAGAUACAAGCUGCACACCAGGUAAACUCUGCUUCAGUCACGCAGCAGCAAACAGCUGCAAGAACACAGAGGAGAGCCACAUACUCAACAGAACUCAGAAAACCCAACACAAAUAUUGAAUUACAUUGGCCACACCCCCCUCAAGCUCAGAGCCAAAACCGGCCGAAAUAUCAUGUAUUGAGACCGUCUUGGGAUCGUGCCACUGACUCCGGGUGGGCCUACUUCAGCAUUCGCACUGACUAUUUAAAACCGAGCUGGCUCAGACUGAGGCCUCAUGACAUCUCGCUGGACACUCAGUUUGAAGGAAGGCCCCCUUCCGUGUGGGGGCAGGGAGAUGGCCUCACCAGUUGGGGGAACCAUUUGAAUGUAGACCUCUGGGCAACCACAACCACAUUCAUUGGAAAGAGACACGAUUGCAACACUGACAAAUGCAACAAAAUCCUCU